rnacentral:lncRNA from 1 species
GGUAGAUUGAGUCUUUUCAGGGGGAAGGGGGUGGCAGGAGUGGAACUGGCUGGAAAGAGCUGCUUGCUGAUUUUCAGCUUAGUGUUGAAGUGACUUUUGCACACUGGAUUGUUCUUUGCGGCGUGUUGGUGCGGCACUCUCAGAAUUAAUGGUGUUGUAAAAUGUAUACUCAGUGGAUCAAACAAACACUGCCAGCUGUUUCUUUGGCUUUUGACCAUCCUGUGGUAGGUGUUCUGAUACCACUAGCAGGACAGGACAGCCUGUACGAAGGACCUCCUAUAUGACUGGAAGACCGCAAAUACGAAGUGAUGAUGGGCAGCCUGAGAAGGACUGCCUGCAGCACCGGUUGAUCGCCUACAAGACCAGAAGAUGGUCCAUAUCCACUGUAUCGAGAAACCAGAAGUGUAGGAUGAUCAGCCCUAGAAGUUUACUGUCACUCAUCGGACUUUCCGCAAGAAGGUGCUGGUGUUAUCAGUAAGUCUACCACAGCAGGUAGAAGGUAAAAUAACCAGCUGGUAGAGUUUGUUUGAUCCAUUUUUGAGUAUACAUUUUGCAGGCUCGUUGUAACAGUAAUGGCAGUGCAGCACCAACAAGCUGCAAAGAACAAGCUAGUAUGCAAAAUUCACUUCCAACACUCAAGCACAAAAUCAUUAGGCAGCUCUUCCCACCCAAUUCUACUUCUGUCACCCCUUCCCCCUUUAAAGGACUCUUACCUACACUGCUGUGGCUUUGUAAAGAUAGGUUGAUAGGGAGCUAGGUGGAUAGGUUGGGUUCAGAGUAGGAUUUUGUAGAUAGUAUUGCC